UAAAUUGACAGAUAGUGGCCUGUGAUUUGA
rnacentral:piRNA from 1 species